UAAAGUUAUUAUAAAAAAAUAAAUUUUAUUUACAAUAAAAAAAUAAUUUAUAUUGAAAUUACUUUAGUU
rnacentral:tRNA from 1 species